GGUUUGUUUGUGAAUUUGAUGUCCUAAUGGAAGAAUAUUGUUAUAGCUCUGAUAACAAACUCAAAAAAAUUAAUAGUUUAUUUCUCUAUCUAAGCUCGAGUCGAUUUGACUCAAGAUGAAGUUUGAGUUGACUCAAAUAGAAAUCUCAAAUCAACUCCUGGUCGGGACCACAUCUUUCUACCCAAAGCUCCCAUUGCCUUUUUCACUUAUCAUUUUCUCUAUUCACUCUAGAAUAGUGCCCCAGACUCCCAUUAAUCCUUGUGAAGCUCUCCAUCUAUCUAUUUUCCUUGAUUCAAAUCUUUUUUUAUGUGCAAUG
rnacentral:lncRNA from 1 species